GGCCAUGGGCCUUUCUCAUGAUGGAAAAAUACAGAAUAACAUGAAGACUGGAACUGUGCAAUGAGUUGUGGGGGCACAUUCAGAACGUAGUGUUGCGAGAACAGAUAACAGGAGCCAGGUGCGAGAUAACGGUGUCGAGCAUGAGCGCAUAGAUAUUCUACACAGCAACAGUUACAUCUCUCAACUGGAGCGCCCGGGGCCCGGGACCAGCUAGGCGCCAACAAUCAACGAUCGGCUGGACAAAACAAAAGAAGAUUGAAAGGGGGUGUGGCAGACUUCAAAACUCUUCCACAAGGACCCACAUGACUAUACUGAUGAAAGGUGGCUCGAGGGGAGGACUCGUCCGUUCACCUACUAACGAAUUGGCAUCUCUUCGACCACUCGGUUUCUACUCACAGGAGAGAGGACAGAGAGAGGGUGGAGGGCAGACUUUUUCCCCAAAUGAGAAAAGGCCACUGACUGCAUACUCCUCUCUCCAGAUAGAUUAACUGAAUCUACCAUGGAACACCUACCAUCACAGAUUGUUCUGAAAUAGUUUCUAUAGUUAGAAACAGAACAUUAGCAUUCAUGCAACAUUAUUUUGUUAAUUUAAUCUCAGAAAUGAAGCUACUUGAUUGUGCCCAUAUUGGACAUUUUAAUGUAUAGGGUUCACAUAGUCAUGGUCAUGUAGUGUAUGUGGACACCUGCUCGAAAAGAUCAUUCUAAAAUCAUGGGCAUUAAUAUGGAAUUGGUCCUCCCUUUGCUGCUAUAACAGCCUCCACGCUUCUGGGAAGGCUUUCCACUAGAUGUUGGAACAUUGCUGCGGGGACUUGCUUCCAUUCAGCCACAAGAGUAUUAGUGAGAUCAGGCACGGCUGUUGGGCGAUUAGGCCUGGCUCGCAGUUGGCGUUCCGAUUCAUCCCAAAGGUGUUAUGAUGGGAUUUAGGUCAGGGCUCUGUGCAGGCCAGUCAAGUUCUUCCACACCGAUCUCGACAAACCAUUUCUGUAUGGGCCUCGCCUUUCCGCACAGGUGCAUUGUCAUGCUGUAAAAUGAAAGGGCCUUCCCUAAACUGUUGCCACAAAGUUGGAAGCACAGAAUCAUCUAGAAUGACGUGUAUGCAGUAGCGUUAAGAUUUCCCUUCUGGAACUAAGGGUCCUAGCUCAAACCAUGAAAAACAGCACUAGACCAUUAUUCCUCCUCUACCAAACAAUUGGCACUACGUAUUGGAGCAGGUAGCGGUUUACUGGCAUCUGCCACAACCAGAUUAGUCUGUCAGACUGCCAAAUGGUGAAGCGUUGAGUCAUCACUCCAGAGAACGUGUUUCCACUGCUUCAGGAUUCAGUGACGGCGAGCUUUACUCCACUCCAGCAGACGCUUGGCAAUGGAAACCCUUUUCAUGAAGCUCAAGACAAACAGUUAUUGUGCCGACGUUGCUUGCAGAGGCAGUUUGGAAUGCGGUAGUAAGUGUUGCAGAGGACAGACGAUUUUUACGCGCUUCAGCACUUGGCGGUCCGGUUCUGAGAGCUUGUGUGGCCAAACCACUUCCCGGCUGAGCAGUUAUUGCUCCAAAAUGUUUCCACUUCACAAUGACAGCACUUACAUUUGAUCGGGGAAGCUCUAGCAGGGUAGAAAUUUGACGAACUGACUUGGAAAGGUAGCAUCCUAUGACAGUGCCACGAUGACAGUCACUGAGCUCUUCAGUAAGGCCAUUCUACAGCCAAUGUUUGUCUAUGGAGAUUGCAUUGCUGUGUGCUCGAUUGUAUUCACCUGUCAGCAACAGGUGUGGCUGAUAUAGCCAAAUCCCCUAAUUUGAAGGGGUGUCCACAUACUUUUGUAUAUAUGGUGUAUUCAAUAAAUAGUAUGUCUGUCAA